CAGCAGUGGCAGCAGCCGGUGGCCAGACCGAGCCCCAGACUGCGGGCAAAGCUGGCACACGCGGGGGCCGACGGACUCUGAGGAAGCUGUGGCCACAUCGCCUCUGCUCUCGACACAACACACAUGCUGAGGCUCAGAGAGGGCGAGCCAUGAGCUGAAGGUCACCAGGCAGGAAGAGGCAGGCUGCACUGGGGCUUCGGCUUGGGUUUGGCUAAGUCACUCUUUUAGGAGGAGGAAGCACAUGUUUUUAUGACUCUGGAGCCUCCGGAGCCACCGCUUUCCGACCCACGUGGAGCUUCCGCUUCUUUUCCGUAUAUAAAUCGCUUCCCCAACUCCAUGCCAAAGAGAACUCCAAAUAACGACACGAGCUUAGCUUUUGCUUUAGAAGUUUCUAGAAUUUAGCUGAUGCUAUUGGAGCGGUCGUGAACUGAUGCGGUCCCUGUGGGGAGUGACUGGAUGAGUUCGAGCCCGACUUGGACAUUUCUCCAGUCCUCUGCGGUUCCAGUUGAGAAAGCAACCCACGCUGCCAGAGGGUAGAGGAGUGGACCCGGAAAUGACAAGUGACAGUUCCUCAGCAGUAGCAUCGCCUGCAUUCCCAGCCUGGUGACCUGACACAGCAGCAGGCCCACUGGGCACCUGUGCCCACCUGGGGACAGGGUUUUGUCCUGCCUGUGUGGCCCUUCCUGUCCCUGACAGCCAUCUCGAGAGACGGCCAGUGAGCACAGGGCAACAGGCAGUGCAUGUUCUUUCCACGUCUCCAUGACUGAUUCGGGCCAGGAGGAGGCUGGUUUUCCAGAUCCCACCAACAUCACAUACGGGACCUUUCCAAUCUACCCGCUACCUCCCCUCUGGUCGUGACUUGAUUCUGGAAUUUAAGAAGUGGAGAAACAGCCUAGUUCAAAUACAAGAAUUUCCACCUAAAACCACAGCACAGAGAGGCCCCUUUAAAAACCACCUAACCCGGCUCUUUCAUCAAACAGAUGAAGAAACUUACCUAAGGAUGUUAAGUGGUUUGCCUAAAUUGCAAAGCCUGAUAUAUGGGAAAAUACUUCCAGGGGAAAUAAGAAAAUGAUCAAUUAAAAAAAAUUUUUAAUGAGGCUCUAAUUCCUAAAAAAUGACUUACUUAAACUGGGGACUGGGCAGAAAAUAAUAUUGUAGAAGGCACAACAGCAUUUCUUUGGGAAGAUUUAUCUUUUGAAGCAUAUAGUGGUCUUCUACAACUAUGCUACAACAGGUUGCAGGACAAAUCCUGUAUUUUAAUUUUUCAGGGAGUCUUUGUGUAAGUCAGACCUUAUUCAUUUUGAUUCCAACAACAAUCACAGCCAUUGGAUCCUAAUUAUUGCAUCUAAUAAGGCCGAUGGCUAAUCAGCUUGCCUUUUUAAGAGAAAAAAACACAAGCUUACUUUUAUUUGUUAUAUAACACAAAUGACAUUCCAUUAUAAGUUUCUGCUGCAAAAGAAAGUUGGGAAAUUUGUUUAGAUACUUUAAAUAGUCCUAAGACAUUAGCUGAAAUGCUGGUAACAAACGUGCAAUGAACAUUUUCUUGGGGGCAUUCAGCAACAAAGUGAAUCGCCCUUAAAAAAAAUCCAUACAACGAAAGCGAGUCUCACCACAGGAACCACAGCAGCUGUUUUAGUGACGGGCUGGAGUGUCUGUUCCAGGCGACACUUUUGCGGCUGUUGCUGCAUUAGUCAGAUUGCACUCGAGAUGAAUAAGGAAGAAUAAAGUCUUUACCAAAAA